UACAGAGGCCUCGAGCGUUAGGCGGAAUCACUGGGCUUAAAGCGUGUGUAGGUGGAUGCCUAAGUACCUUGUGAAAUCCCAUGGCUUUACCAUGGAAUUGCUUGGUAUACUGGGUGUCUUGAGCCACUCAGGGGCUACCGGAACAAGCGGUGGAGCGGUGAAAUGCGUAGAUAUCGCUUGGAACGCCAAAGGUGAAAACAGGUAGCUGGGGGUGUGCUGACACUGAGACACGAAAGCCAGGGGAGCAAACGGG
rnacentral:rRNA from 1 species